UCCUCAUUGUCCAGAUGCAGUGAUCUGGUAAGUUUCAGUUCCUUGAUAAUAUCUGGGAGGCCUGAUGGUUGGCUUCAUGAGGAAGGAACUCAGAUUAAGACAAAUGUAACUUUCUCAAGUUUUAAGACUGGGAGGGUCAGUUUUCUUUCAGUUUCUUUCUUUUAUUCAAAAGAAACCACAAAUACCAGUUCUAUCAGACAGUUGGGCCAUUUUCAACUCAAGGCAUCUGAGUUCCUCCUCAUCAAGGCAAAUAUGGAGGGCAGGCAGAGAAGUUUUCUUGUAUCUGCAUCUGCUUCUGAUACGGACAGGGGACAGGGAAAAUACUGGUUAGAAGAGGGUGGAUCCCUGGCAAAGACCUCACCUUCAAGCCUGAAGACCUGCGGCCCUAAAUGAGGACAGGCAUUCCUGUUUUCAAGACAAAGAGGUUGCCUUUUGUCCCUCCACACCCUCUAUCCUGCCCCCACGUAAACCGCAAACCCCAAGCUCCACAGCAGAGCAGCAGGUGAGUAGAGGAGGAUACCAGCAGAUGGACGGUGGAACAGCACAGCAGGGAAAGAGAGAAGAGGAGAGACGUCUGGAUGCCAAGAGGAGUUCAGCUGGGGGCGGUAGGAAAGGAGUCCAGCCGCUGGGCGGCCUGACUCCAGGGGAAGAUCACCUUCCCAUUCCAUCCACCCACCGUCUGGCUCUCCAUCCAUCCCUCUGAAAGCCACCUCCACCACUCAAUAAAACCUCGCAUUCAUCCUUUGAGUCCGUGUGUGACCUGAUUUUUCCAGGACGCUGAACAAGAGCUCGGGAUACAGCAAGCUAUCAUGUUGGCCCUCUGCCCUUGUGAAAAGGCAAAAGGUCCAUUAAGCUGGUUAACAUUCAAGCUGUCUUCGGGCGGCCAAGCUGAAAGCUUUGUAACGCUGGGGCUGCAGGCAUCCACUCCUAGACACUACAGCCGGGCCAGACCCCAGAGCGCUCACCCCAGCCUCUGCACCUGCCUGUCUGCAUGCUCUCUGUCUCACAAGGGGAUUAAGCAGUGAGGCAACUGAACAGGUGAGCUACACUUCUGUUGCACGUCCUGCAAGGGGAAUCAGGGAAGUAUCCCAUUUCCCUUCCUUUCACUGUCUUUAUCUCAAAAUAAUCAAUAUGCCAAAGUGGCAUGUUUGGAGUGGCAUGUUUUGCUACUCUUCAGUUCACUUGAAGAAUUCAUUUGUGGGACUUAACCUUUAAGUUGCUUUUUUGUUUCCUUUUUUUCCUUCAUUAAAUGUCUCAGGAACAGUAUAAAAUAUGAUUUUCCUUCUCUCAACCUCCCAGCCCCAUAACCUCCCAUAGUCUAGCCUUUACAUUCACCACCCUACUGAGAUUCAUCAGUUGAGCCUCACAGUGGCAUUCUAAUGAACAAAUCCCAUGGCUUUCUCAAUUGCUCACAAAUCCUCUUACGGCAUUUGAGAGUAUUGAUCACUCCAUACUUGACAUAUUAUCUCUUCCUGGUUUUUCUGAUAUUCAAAGCCCUGGUUCUCACCUAUCUGACCCUUCU
rnacentral:lncRNA from 1 species